rnacentral:rRNA from 1 species
AUUGAACGCUGGCGGCAGGCCUAACACAUGCAAGUCGAGCGAGCGGCGGACGGGUGAGUAAUGUAUGGGGACUGCCCUAUAGAGGGGGAUAACUACUGGAAACGUUCGCUAAUACCGCAUACUAUCGGAUAACCCAUAUGGGAUUAGCUAGUAGGAGGGGUAAAGGCUCACCUAGGCGACGAUCCCUAGCUGGUCUGAGAGGAUGAUCAGCCACACUGGGACUGAGACACGGCCCAGACUCCUACGGAGGCAGCAUUGGGGAAUAUUGGACAAUGGGCGCAAGCCUGAUGCAGCCAUGCCGCGUGUAUGAAGAAGGCCUUCGGGUUGUAAAGUACUUUCGUCGGGAAAGCGUUACCCGCAGAAGAAGCACCGGCUAACUCCGUGCCAGCAGCCGCGGUAAUUC